rnacentral:rRNA from 1 species
UUGAACGCUGGCGGCAGGCCUAACACAUGCAAGUCGAGCGGCAGCGCGGGGCAACCUGGCGGCGAGCGGCGGACGGGUGAGUAACGCGUAGGAAUCUACCCAGUAGCGGGGGAUAGCCCGGGGAAACUCGGAUUAAUACCGCAUACGCCCUAAGGGGGAAAGCGGGGUCGCAAGACCUCGCACUAUUGGAAGAGCCUGCGUUGGAUUAGCUAGUUGGUAGGGUAAAGGCCUACCAAGGCAACGAUCCAUAACUGGUCUGAGAGGAUGAUCAGUCACACCGGAACUGAGACACGGUCCGGACUCCUACGGGAGGCAGCAGUGGGGAAUAUUGGACAAUGGGGGCAACCCUGAUCCAGCCGUGCCGCGUGUGUGAAGAAGGCCUUCGGGUUGUAAAGCACUUUAAGUGGGGAGAAAGGUUCGUCGGUUAAUACCCGGCGGAAUUGAUGUUACCCACAGAAUAAGCACCGGCUAACUCUGUGCCAGCCGCCGCCGUAA